AGAGUCUCACUGUACCGCCCUCGGGUAGAGUGCCGUGGCGUCACACGGCUCACAGCAACCUCUAACUCUUCGGCUUAUGCGAUUCUCUUGCCUCAGCCUCCCGAACAGCUGGGACUACAGGGAAAUUUUAUUUUCUUUCUUUUUUUUUUUUUUUUUUUUUUUUUUUUUUAUUGUUGGGGAUUCAUUGAGGGUACAAUAAGCCAGGUUACACUGAUUGCAAUUGUUAGGUAAAGUCCCUCUUGCAAUCGUGGGAAAUAUUAUUUUCUAAACGAAGUUUACUGUGGGUCUAUGCUGGUCUCUAGCCAUAAGUGGAGCCAGUGGCGUUUUCCUGUAAAUUUCCUUGUAAAUAAGUUCUGAGAAAAGACAUUGAAAUUGGAGAACAGCCCGUGCAGGUCUGGAAGGCCCUUAGGCUGUAAAUGCCUACCCUCGUGCCUGUGCUUGAAUUCACAGGGAGAUGGGUGUUUCCGGACGUGUAUCAGUGAACUGGGGGGAGACUGGAAAACAUGCUGCCAAUUCAAAAACGUUUAAAAAUGCACAUAGGUAGCUGCACAUGGAUGUCCUUUAGCUGCAGUUUUUUGAAAUACUCCUUUGUUGCCUCAGAGGUGUGCCAUGCAACAUUAUGGAAGAAAGAACGAAGACUGCAAGAAAACAGACGAACAGAAGCAAAUGAUGAAAAUGAAUAUUUUACUUGGUUUUACUAACUUCAUUAUAAAUGAUAUAGAAAAUAAAUGUAGGAAUGAAGAAAAUAAGAUUUCCUCAAGUCACUUAUUCAUCACUAGAGAAGAUACCUGUCCCUGGUCCAUACGUGGCAAUAAACUGUUCAAGCUGUCGUUGGCACUGAGUCAGGUAGAUAUCCCUUUGCUCUAAAUACUCUUCAUUAUACAAUUCAAAUGGAAAUACUGCAUUUGGAGCAACACAAAAUACAGCGGCUCCUAAAGAAGGAAACAGAAUGUAAGUGAGGAAUACUUAAAAUGCCAAAUGUGAGGGCAGCGCCUGUGGCUCAAGGAGUAGGGUGCCGGUCUCAUAUGCCGGAGGUGGUGGGUUCAAACCCAGCCCCGGCCAGAAAAAAAAAAAAAAAAAAGCCAAAUGUGAAAUCACUCUAUCAAACAAAAUAAUGAAAACGUAAAAAUUAAGUUCUGACUCAUUCAAUAGAGCAUGUCGAUAAUCAUCUAAAUCUGACACUUGUUCUUUUAAACUAAGGAAGCAGCUUUAGUUUGGUACCAACGGAAGAAGUAUUUUGAUGUCUACAUUUUAAAGCUUGGAAAUUGUAAAAAGCAUUAGUUUUGAAGCUGAAUAGUAAUGUUUAGAGGUGAAAAUAGUAGAAAAAGAAGGUAUUGGAAUAUGGGUAAAAAGAAUAAAUGAAUGAUCAAGGAUAAACACAUUGCAGUACAUUUCUCAGUUGUUAGAACCAUUCAUGGCAAGGUAAAUAUCUAAAUUUAUGGACUAGAAUAGCCCCUGAAUCUGGCAUAUAUCAAAUGAUUUUCAACAAGGGUAGUAAGAUCAUUCUAUGGGGAGAAAAAAACAGGAGUUGGAACCUGUUCAUGGAAAAAACAUGAAGUUGGACCCUUAGCUUACAUCAUAGCAAAAAUUAUCUCAAAAUGGAGCAUAGACCUA